UUAAAAAGAGGAGGAUUAUCCAUGGACCAGUCACUGUUCAGGGACACACAGCUGGGUUCAGGUCCAGACGAGUCUAGACUCUGAUGGAUACUGACAGAAAAACAGCAGAAACACAAUUAAAGAUCAGAAAACAUGAUCAUCAAUAAUGUUUGAAACCAGUGGCAGCUGGUCACUAGAGGGCGAUAUGACACAGCCCCCUCAAAAUACUGAGUUAAAUAAAAUCUACAACAUAAUGAAUGAAUCAGAAAUAAGUCUGGUUUGUUCAAAGUCAGAGUCUGUCCAGGGUUCUCCCCAGA